UACAGAGGGUGCAAGCGUUGUUCGGAAUUAUUGGGCGUAAAGCGCGUGUAGGCGGCUUUGCAAGUCGGGUGUGAAAGCCCUCAGCUCAACUGAGGAAGUGCGCCCGAAACUGCAGAGCUUGAGUACCGGAGAGGAUGGUGGAAUUCCCCAAGUAGAGGUGAAAUUCGUAGAUAUGGGGAGGAACACCGGUGGCGAAGGCGACCAUCUGGACGGAUACUGACGCUGAGACGCGAAAAGCGUGGGUAGCAAACAGG
rnacentral:rRNA from 1 species